rnacentral:rRNA from 1 species
AGUGAACGCUGGCGGUAGGCCUAACACAUGCAAGUCGAACGGCAGCACAGUAAGAGCUUGCUCUUACGGGUGGCGAGUGGCGGACGGGUGAGGAAUACAUCGGAAUCUACUUUUUCGUGGGGGAUAACGUAGGGAAACUUACGCUAAUACCGCAUACGACCUACGGGUGAAAGCAGGGGAUCUUCGGACCUUGCGCGAGUGAAUGAGCCGAUGUCGGAUUAGCUAGUUGGCGGGGUAAAGGCCCACCAAGGCGACGAUCCGUAGCUGGUCUGAGAGGAUGAUCAGCCACACUGGAACUGCGACACGGUCCAGACUCCUACGGGAGGCAGCAGUGGGGAAUAUUGGACAAUGGGCGCAAGCCUGAUCCAGCCAUACCGCGUGGGUGAAGAAGGCCUUCGGGUUGUAAAGCCCUUUUGUUGGGAAAGAAAAGCAGCAGGUUAAUACCCCGCUGUUCUGACGGUACCCAAAGAAUAAGCACCGGCUAACUUCGUG